AAUAGUCUUUUAAUAGGAGGCCGGAAUGAAGGGUUGGACAAAAAAUAUACUGUCUUUUGGUAAAAAUUGAAUUUUACUUUUGAGUGAAAAGGCUUAAAUAGUUUAAGGGGACGAGAAGACCCUAUAAAGUUUUAUAGAAGAAAAAAUAACAAUAUAUAUAUGGGUUUAUGUGUUAUUUUAGGUUUCUAUUUCAUUGGGGAGGUGAAGAUAUAAGAUAAAAAUAACUGUCAGUAAAAUAUAAUAGUUGUAAUUAGAUAAAAUGAACCUUUAUUGAGGAUUAAGAGAAAAAAUUACUUUAGGGAUAACAGCGUAAUUUUUUUGGAGAGUUCUAAUCGAUGAAAGUAGUUGCGACCUCGAUGUUGAAUUAAGAUUAAAUUUAGGGGGCAGAUUCUUUAAUGGAAAGUCUGUUCGACUUUUAAAAUCUUA
rnacentral:rRNA from 1 species